UAAUAACGUAUAUUCUGAAAAUAUAGCUGAGACAAUAGAGUUUUUAAUACGAACUAAAAAUAUUGUAGAAACUAACGUAAUUGAAGUGAACACAGAUCAAUUUAGAAAAUAUCGAAUAAAGGAAAUGAGUGACCGUGUGAUAAAUCAGGAGGAGUUAAUUAAUCAAAUAACAAACCAGGUUGAUAUUCGCAAUGGACAAA